ACCCUGCACAAUGGAUGUCUUGGCUCCCCUUACGAUGAAGAACAUGGCAUAAUGUGAAAAGUGACGGGAGUUGCAUACAUCGUGACCAGUUCAAUCUUUGAAUGCAUAUUGCCCUCUUCGGAGGAUGAUAUUUUAUGUGUCCUUUCAUAUCAAAA
rnacentral:rRNA from 1 species